rnacentral:rRNA from 1 species
GGGCUCNUUUAGUAAACUCAUAUUAAACACUUAUACAAACUUACAGUCUGAGAAGGCCAUAGGCCGUAAUCAUAUAAUAUGUUAAAACUUUCAACAACGGAUCUCUUGGCUCUCGCAUCGAUGAAGAACGCAGCGAAAUGCGAUAAGUAAUGUGAAUUGCAGAAUUCAGUGAAUCAUCGAAUCUUUGAACGCACAUUGCGCCCUUUGGUAUUCCUUAGGGCAUGCCUGUUCGAGCGUCACUAAACUAUACUUCUCACGUCUGACGUGGUAUUGGUAGAAGUGGUGCAGAAAUUGCUCCACUCCUCUAAAAUUGAAAGGCCGGAAAAUGAUCUCGGUGAGAGACUUGUAGAGUGUUUUGAAAACCUAAAUCAGUCUUCAGCCAGGUUGAGUCCGUGCUUCUGGACCCCCAUCCACAGUAACAUAUUAAAGUUGACCUCGGAUCAGGUAGGGAUACCCGCUGAACUUAAGC